AGAGUUUGAUCAUGGCUCAGGAUGAACGCUGGCGGCGUGCCUAAUACAUGCAAGUCGAACGAACUUCCGUUAAUUGAUUAUGACGUACUUGUACUGAUUGAGAUUUUAACACGAAGUGAGUGGCGGACGGGUGAGUAACACGUGGGUAACCUGCCCAGAAGUAGGGGAUAACACCUGGAAACAGAUGCUAAUACCGUAUAACAGAGAAAACCGCAUGGUUUUCUUUUAAAAGAUGGCUCUGCUAUCACUUUUGGAUGGACCCGCGGCGUAUUAGCUAGUUGGUGAGGUAAAGGCUCACCAAGGCAGUGAUAUGUAGCCGACCUGAGAGGGUAAUCGGCCACAUUGGGACUGAGACACGGCCCAGACUCCUACGGGAGGCAGCAGUAGGGAAUCUUCCACAAUGGACGCAAGUYUGAUGGAGCAACGCCGCGUGAGUGAAGAAGGGUUUCGGCUCGUAAAGCUCUGUUGUUAAAGAAGAACGUGGGUAAGAGUAACUGUUUACCCAGUGACGGUAUUUAACCAGAAAGCCACGGCUAACUACGUGCCAGCAGCCGCGGUAAUACGUAGGUGGCAAGCGUUAUCCGGAUUUAUUGGGCGUAAAGCGAGCGCAGGCGGUCUUUUAAGUCUAAUGUGAAAGCCUCGGCUCAACCGAAGAAGUGCAUUGGAAACUGGGAGACUUGAGUGCAGAAGAGGACAGUGGAACUCCAUGUGUAGCGGUGAAAUGCGUAGAUAUAUGGAAGAACACCAGUGGCGAAGGCGGCUGUCUGGUCUGCAACUGACGCUGAGGCUCGAAAGCAUGGGUAGCGAACAGGAUUAGAUACCCUGGUAGUCCAUGCCGUAAACGAUGAUUACUAAGUUGUUGGAGGGUUUCCGCCCUUCAGUGCUGCAGCUAACGCAUUAAGUAAUCCGCCUGGGGAGUA
rnacentral:rRNA from 1 species